GUCUAGGUAGGUACGCGACGUGCAUACGGAGCGGAGUUGGUACAGGUGAACAGAUAAACUGGAGAUGAAAGCAAGCGCUUGCCCCGUAGCACCGGUGCUACGAAGCUCACUACUACGCAGCUCGUAGCAGUCGUAGCACUACGACUUUUAUUAAGAGGGAGACAGAGCAGGUUCUUCUUCAGGUAUUGA